AACGUAGGAGACAAACGUUAUCCGGAGUUACUGGGCGUAAAGGGCGUGUAGGCGGACUGUUAAGUCUGGCGUGAAAGCUCCCGGCUAAACCGGGAGAGGUCGUUGGAUACUGGCAGACUAGAGGAUGGUAGAGGCGUGUGGAAUUCCGGGUGUAGUGGUGAAAUGCGUAGAGAUCGGGAGGAACACCAGAGGCGAAGGCGGCAACCUGGACAAGCACUGACACUCAACUGCGAAAGCGUGGGGAGCAAACAGG
rnacentral:rRNA from 1 species